AGCUCCAAUAGCGUAUAUUAAAGUUGUUGCAGUUAAAAAGCUCGUAGUUGGACUUCUGAUGUGGGGGAACUGUCCACCUCACGGUGAGCACGGGUUCCUCGCGUCUUCCUCUCGUAGUCUUUUGGCGCACUUAGUUGGGUGCCUUGAGAAUAUGGGACCUUUACUUUGAAAAAUUAGAGUGUUCAAAGCAGGCAAUCGCUUGAAUACAUUAGCAUGGAAUAAUAGAAUAGGACUUUGGUUCUAUUUUGUUGGUUUCUAGGACCGAAGUAAUGAUUAAUAGGGACAGUUGGGGCAUUAGUAUUUAAUUGUCAGAGGUGAAAUUCUUGGAUUUAUGAAAGACUAACUACUGCGAAAGCAUUUGCCAAGGAUGUUUUCA
rnacentral:rRNA from 1 species